rfam:Fukomys damarensis contig89787, whole genome shotgun sequence.
AAACCGGUUUUAUUCAAAACCAUCCAUCAGUCAGUUUAAUACAGCU